UACGGGAGACAGCAGUUAGGAAUAUUCGUCAAUGGGGGAAACCCUGAACGAGCAAUGCCGCGUGAGUGAUGACGGCCCUAUGGGUUGUAAAACUCUGUUGUUUGGAAAGAAUUGUAGAAUGAGGAAAUGCAUUCUACUUGACGGUACCAUUCAAGAAAGCUACGGCUAACUACGUGCCAGCAGCCGCGGUAAU
rnacentral:rRNA from 1 species